rnacentral:rRNA from 1 species
UAGGGAAUCUUCCGCAAUGGACGAAAGUCUGACGGAGCAACGCCGCGUGAGCGAUGAAGGCCUUCGGGUCGUAAAGCUCUGUUGUCAGGGAAGAACAAGUAUCGGAGUAACUGCCGGUACCUUGACGGUACCUGACCAGAAAGCCACGGCUAACUACGUGCCAGCAGCCGCGGUAAUACGUAGGUGGCAAGCGUUGUCCGGAAUUAUUGGGCGUAAAGCGCGCGCAGGCGGUUCCUUAAGUCUGAUGUGAAA